AACGUAGGUGGCAAGCGUUAUCCGGAAUUACUGGGCGUAAAGGGCAUGCAGGCGGUCGGACGCGUUUCGGGUGACAGCGGGUGGCUUAACUACCCGAGUGGUCGAAAGACGGUUUGACUUGAGGACGCGAGAGGGACACGGAAUUCCGGGUGGAGUGGUGAAAUGCGUAGAGAUCCGGAGGAACACCGAAGGCGAAGGCAGUGUCCUGGCGCGUAACUGACGCUGAGGUGCGAAAGCCAGGGGAGCGAACGGG
rnacentral:rRNA from 1 species